GACGAACGCUGGCGGCGUGCUUAACACAUGCAAGUCGAACGGUGAAGCGCUUUCCUUUUUGGUUGGUGUGGAUGAGUGGCGAACGGGUGAGUAACACGUGAGUAACCUGCCCCCUUCUUCUGGAUAACCGCAUGAAAGUGUGGCUAAUACGGGAUAUUCUGCGCCUGCUGCAUGGUGGGUGUGGGAAAGAUUGUGCCUUUGGGUGUUUUCGGUGGGGGAUGGGCGCGCGGGCUCUCAGCUUGUUGGGUGGGUGAUUGCCUACCAAGGGGGUGACGGGUCCGCUGACUGGUUGGGGGGAAAGUGGCACGGUGACUGAGACGCGGCCCAGACUCGUAAGCGAGGAAGCAGUGGGGAAUCUUGCACAAUGGGGUGAAGCCUGAUGCAGCGACGCCGCGUGAGGGAUGAGGGGUUUCGGUUUGUGAACCUCUUGCGGAAGUGAAGAAGGCGUGCUGCUUGUGAGUGGGUUGACGGUAGCUUGAUAAGAAGCGCCGGCUAACUACGUG
rnacentral:rRNA from 1 species